rnacentral:rRNA from 1 species
GUCCCGCCUGCCCAGUGACUUUAAGUUUAACGGCCGCGGUAUUUUGACCGUGCAAAGGUAGCGCAAUCACUUGUCCUUUAAAUGAAGACCUGUAUGAAUGGCACCACGAGGGCUCAACUGUCUCCUUUCUCCUGUCAAUGAAAUUGAUCUCCCCGUGCAGAAGCGGGGAUAAAACCAUAAGACGAGAAGACCCUAUGGAGCUUUAGGCACCAGAACAGACUAUGUUAAGCACCCUAAACACAAAAGACAAAACUAACUAGACCCUAUUCCAAUGCCUUUGGUUGGGGCGACCGCGGGGAAAUAAAAAACCCCCAUGUGGACCAAGAGCACAUCACUCUUACAACCCAGGGCUACAACCCUAAGUAACAGAACUUUCUGACCAGAAUGAUCCGGUAAAACCGAUCAACGAACCGAGUUACCCUAGGGAUAACAGCGCAAUCCCCUUCUAGAGCCCAUAUCGACAAGGGGGUUUACGACCUCGAUGUUGGAUCAGGACAUCCUACUGGUGCAGCCGCUAUUAAGGG